GACGAACGCUGGCGGCGUGCUUAACACAUGCAAGUCGAACGGAAAGGCCCUGCUUUUGUGGGGUUCUCGAGUGGCGAACGGGUGAGUAACACGUGAGUAACCUGCCCUUGACUUUGGGAUAACUUCAGGAAACUGGGGCUAAUACCGGAUAGCAGCUCCUGCUGCAUGGUGGGUGUUGGAAAGUUUCGGCGGUUGGGGAUGGACUCGCGGCUUAUCAGCUUGUUGGUGGGGUAGUGGCUUACCAAGGCUUUGACGGGUAGCCGGCCUGAGAGGGUGACCAGCCACAUUGGGACUGAGAUACGGCCCAGACUCAUACGGGAGGCAGCAGUGGGGAACAUUGCACAAUGGGCGGAAGCCUGAUGCAGCAACGUCGCGUGCGGGAUGACGGCCUUCGGGUUGUAAACCGCUUUCGCCUGUGACGAAGCGUGAGUGACGGUAAUGGGUAAAGAAGCACCGGCUAACUACGUG
rnacentral:rRNA from 1 species